GCCCUUGCGGAUCGCGGCCGCUGCAGAGUUUGAUCCUGGCUCAGGAUGAACGCUGGCGGUCUGCUUAACACAUGCAAGUCGAACGGAGUGCUUCGGCACUUAGUGGCGGACGGGUGAGUAACGCGUGAGAAUCUGCCCUUAGGACGGGGACAACAGCUGGAAACGGCUGCUAAUACCCGAUGUGCCGAGAGGUGAAACAUUUUAUGGCCUGAGGAUGAGCUCGCGUCUGAUUAGCUAGUUGGUGGGGUAAGAGCCUACCAAGGCGACGAUCAGUAGCUGGUCUGAGAGGAUGAUCAGCCACACUGGGACUGAGACACGGCCCAGACUCCUACGGGAGGCAGCAGUGGGGAAUUUUCCGCAAUGGGCGCAAGCCUGACGGAGCAAGACCGCGUGCGGGAGGACGGCCUAUUGGUUGUAAACCGCUUUUGAUAGGGAAGAAGUACUGACGGUACCUAUCGAAUCAGCAUCGGCUAACUCCGUGCCAGCAGCCGCGGUAAUACGGAGGAUGCAAGCGUUAUCCGGAAUUAUUGGGCGUAAAGCGUCCGUAGGUGGUUGUUCAAGUCUGCUGUUAAAGCGUGCGGCUUAACCGCAUACCAGCAGUGGAAACUGGGCGACUAGAGUGCGGUAGGGGUCAGGGGAAUUCCCAGUGUAGCGGUGAAAUGCGUAGAUAUUGGGAAGAACACCGGUGGCGAAAGCGCCUGACUGGACCUGCACUGACACUGAGGGACGAAAGCUAGGGGAGCGAAAGGGAUUAGAUACCCCUGUAGUCCUAGCCGUAAACGAUGGACACUAGGUGUUGCCCGUAUCGACCCGGGCAGUGCCGUAGCCAACGCGUUAAGUGUCCCGCCUGGGGAGUACGCUCGCAAGAGUGAAACUCAA
rnacentral:rRNA from 1 species